UUGAGGGGUCUAGAAUGUGGAGUGUAGUUAAAAUUUGGGUAAAAGUUUAGACUUGGGUGUAGGUUAACAUUAGGGUGCAGGUCUAGGAGACAGUUAAAGUUUGGGGGAAGGUUGAGAAUGUUGGGUGUAGGUUAAGAGGUUAGGGUGGAGGUCUAGGACUCAGUUAUAGUUUGGGUGAAGGUUUAGAAUGUUGGGUGUAGGUUAAGAGGUUAGGGUGGAGGUCUAAGACUCAGUUAAAGUUUGGGUGAAGGUUUAGAAUGUUGGGUGUAGGUUAAGAGGUUAGGGUGGAGGUCUAGGACUCAGUUAAAGUUUGGGUGAAGGUUUAGAAUGUUGGGUGUAGGUUAAGAGGUUAGGGUGGAGGUCUAAGACUCAGUUAAAGUUUGGGUGAAGAUUGAGAAUGUUGUGUGUAGGUUAAGAGGUUAGGGUGGAGGUCUAGGACUCAGUUAAAGUUUAGGGGAAGGUUGAGAAAGUUGGGUGUAGGUUAAGAGGUUAGGGUGGAGGUCUAGGACUCAGUUAAAGUUUGGGUGAAGGUUUAGAAUGUUGGGUGUAGGUUAACAGUUUAGGGAGUAGGAGAUUCCCAUGGAAUAUCUUUAUCAGGGAACUGAUUAUCAAUGAAAUCUCUUCCAAACAUGUCAUCACAUCUGUCUGGGUACAACAAAAACCCGCUGAAUGUGCUGCUGGACUCGGAGCCGGUGAACAUGCCAUUAGUGGUGGUGUCUUUCACCUGUACCCACACCCAGUCACCCUGGCUCAGACUCAGCACCACCUGCUGAGACGCGGUGUUCAUGUCUACUGGCGUAGUUGUCCUCACUACAGCCUCGAAGUUGCGGAAGAGUCCGACCUUUAGCAUACGGGUGGACACCUGCAGAUGGUAGCUAAACACGUAGGUUCCGUUAACCGGGGCGGUGUAGACCCCAUUAUCAGGGUUGUAGUUCUGGUUUAAGUUGUAGAUGACACGUUUGAAAGGCA